GGCAUCGUGGUCGAGUGGUAAGGACACUACCUCUCACCCUGGAGUCCUGGGUUCGAUCCCCGAUCGUGGAGUCA